GUCAAGCCUAUGAAGCUGGCAGAAGGUGAAGAUGUUGGGAGCAGGAUGCUUUCAGCCAAGAAGAGGCGGAGGCAGAAAAGGUGUAGGGCUGGGAAGCCCUUGGAUGUAGAUGCUCAGGAAGUGAAGGACUUUGUUAGAAGCAGAGACUACGUAGACAGACCAGGACGUAAAUGCACGCAGAAGUGUGUGGUAGAGUCGAGCACGGAGUCCGAGCCUGAAGCCAGGGCAGAG